GCUUUAUAUUUUUCGGUAAUUAUUUGUUUAGUUUAUUUUUUAUAAGGGCCAAAAAAAUAUUUUGUUGGGGUGACAGGAAGAUAAAUAAAACUCUUUUUAGCUUAUUUCCACUGAUUUGUGAUUUAUUGAUCCAUUAUUAUUGAUUAUAAGACUAAGU
rnacentral:rRNA from 1 species